AUGAUCCUUUUGUUUCAUUAUUGCUACGUUUCCAAUUGUUUGAACUCAUAUUGCCGUGGCUUCUUUCUUCUUUUUAAAGUUUCCAUUUUCUCACAGAAGUUCUAACACUGUCGUGCCAAUUUUUUCAGUUGCUGGGAAAUUAAGUUGUGAGGACGUGGUUGAAGAGGUAGAAGAAAGAAAACAAGAACCCACACCCCCCAUAAUACCGGCACCACAACCCCCGCCUUGUGAUUGAACCUAUUUUUAUUUCUUUAUUUCGCAUUUUAUUUUUAUUUAUUUUCUAUUCUUUCAUGCAUAUUUAUUUAUUUAUGUCACUUAUUUUAUUUUUAGAGCAUGGAUGUUAGAAUGUAAAUUAGGC
rnacentral:lncRNA from 1 species